rnacentral:rRNA from 1 species
CAGCAGCCGCGGUAAUACAGAGGGUGCGAGCGUUAAUCGGAUUUACUGGGCGUAAAGCGUGCGUAGGCGGCUUUUUAAGUCGGAUGUGAAACCCCUGAGCUUAACUUAGGAAUUGCAUUCGAUACUGGGAAGCUAGAGUAUGGGAGAGGAUGGUAGAAUUCCAGGUGUAGCGGUGAAAUGCGUAGAGAUCUGGAGGAAUACCGAUGGCGAAGGCAGCCAUCUGGCCUAAUACUGACGCUGAGGUACGAAAGCAUGGGGAGCAAACAGGAUUAGAUACCCCAGUAGUCCCUGUCUCUUAUAA